rnacentral:lncRNA from 1 species
CAAACUUAAGCAGUUAUGUGCUGCAACUCUGCAACGACAAGAACCACAUGAUUAUCUUCAUUUUAUGCUUAACUAUUUUGGCUGUUAUUUACAUAUUUUUUAUAUAUCAUUUAAGAAUUUCGGUUAAUAAAUUCGGUUUUCGAUUUUAACCGAAAUUUAAAAUUCGGUUCGGUUAUAAACCGAAAUUAAUUCGGUUCGGUUUUCGGUAGCGAUUUUUCAUAAACUUCGGUUUCGGUUAACCGAAAAAAAAUUCGGUUUCGGUUUCGGUUAACCGAAUGCAC